CGCCAGACUCCUACGGGAGGCAGCAGUGGGGAAUAUUGCACAAUGGGGGAAACCCUGAUGCAGCGACGCCGCGUGAGUGAAGAAGUAUUUCGGUAUGUAAAGCUCUAUCAGCAGGGAAGAAAAUGACGGUACCUGACCAAGAAGCCCCGGCUAACUACGUGCCAGCAGCCGCGGUAAUACGUAGGGGGCAAGCGUUAUCCGGAUUUACUGGGUGUAAAGGGAGCGUAGACGGUUGUGCAAGUCAGAAGUGAAAGCCCGGGGCUCAACUCCGGGACUGCUUUUGAAACUGUGAAACUGGAGUGCAGGAGAGGUAAGCGGAAUUCCUGGUGUAGCGGUGAAAUGCGUAGAUAUCAGGAGGAACACCAGUGGCGAAGGCGGCUUACUGGACUGUAACUGACGUUGAGGCUCGAAAGCGUGGGGAGCAAACAGGAUUAGAUACCCCGGUAU
rnacentral:rRNA from 1 species